CUCUUGAAGCGGUGGAUCACUCGCUCGUGCGUCGAUGAAAGAGCGCGCAGCCAACUGCGUGAAAUUAGUGUGAAUGCAGGAUAAUGCGUUGAAAGCAUCGACAUGCUUGGCAAACGCAUAUUGCGGCCUCAGGUCUCGCCCCUGUGGCCACGCCUGGCCGAGGGUCG
rnacentral:rRNA from 1 species